rnacentral:tRNA from 1 species
GGCAAGGUGGCUCAAUGGUAGAGUGCUUGCCUCUCAUUCAAGAGGCCUUAGGUUCAAUUCCUCAGUACCG